rnacentral:rRNA from 1 species
GAUGAACGCUGGCGGCGCGCCUAACACAUGCAAGUCGAACGAUUAAAGCACCUUCGGGUGUGUAUAAAGUGGCGAACGGCUGAGUAACACGUGGGCAACCUGCCCCUUUCAUUGGGAUAGCCACGGGAAACCGUGGAUAAUACCGAAUACUUCGAGACUUCCGCAUGGAAGACUCGAGAAAGCUCCGGCGGAGAGGGAUGGGCCCGCGGCCUGUUAGCUUGUUGGUGGGGUAACGGCCUACCAAGGCAAUGAUGGGUAGCUGGGUUGAGAGACCGACCAGCCAGAUUGGGACUGAGACACGGCCCAGACUCCUACGGGAGGCAGCAGUGGGGAAUCUUGCACAAUGGGCGAAAGCCUGAUGCAGCGACGCCGCGUGCGGGUUGAAGGCCUUCGGGUUGUAAACCGCUUUCAGCAGGGACGAGGCGAAAGUGACGGUACCUGCAGAAGAAGCCCCGGCUAACUACGUG